CAGUCGCCGCGGUAAAACGAAGGGGGCUAGCGUUGCUCGGAAUUACUGGGCGUAAAGGGAGCGUAGGCGGACUGUUUAGUCAGAGGUGAAAGCCCAGGGCUCAACCUUGGAAUUGCCUUUGAUACUGGCAGUCUUGAGUACGGAAGAGGUAUGUGGAACUCCGAGUGUAGAGGUGAAAUUCGUAGAUAUUCGGAAGAACACCAGUGGCGAAGGCGACAUACUGGUCCGUUACUGACGCUGAGGCUCGAAAGCGUGGGGAGCAAACAGGAUUAGAUACCCCAGUAGUCCCUGUCCUUAUACA
rnacentral:rRNA from 1 species